rnacentral:rRNA from 1 species
AUACGGAGGAUCCAAGCGUUAUCCGGAAUCAUUGGGUUUAAAGGGUCCGUAGGCGGGUUUGUAAGUCAGUGGUGAAAUCUUGCAGCUCAACCGUAAAAUUGCCAUUGAUACUGGAUUUCUUGAAUUAGUGUGAAGUGAUUAGAAUGUGUAGUGUAGCGGUGAAAUGCAUAGAUAUUACACAGAAUACCAAUUGCGAAGGCAGAUCACUAACACUAUAUUGACGCUGAGGGACGAAAGCGUGGGGAGCGAACAGGAUUAGAAACCCCAGUAGUCC